AAUCAACGCUGGUGGCGUGCCUAACACAUGCAAGUCGAACGCGACUUAGGCUUCGGUCUAAGUUGAGUGGCGAACGGGUGAGUAACACGUGGGUGACCUACCUUCGAGUGGGGGAUAACGUCCCGAAAGGGACGCUAAUACCGCAUAACAUCCUGCCUUUGAACAGGUGGAGAUCAAAGCCGGGGAUCGCAAGACCUGGCGCUUGAUGAGGGGCCCGCGCCUGAUUAGCUAGUUGGGAGGUAAUGGCUCACCAAGGCGACGAUCAGUAUCCGGCCUGAGAGGGCGGACGGACACACUGGGACUGAGACACGGCCCAGACUCCUACGGGAGGCAGCAGUGGGGAAUUGUUCGCAAUGGGCGCAAGCCUGACGACGCAACGCCGCGUGGAGGAUGAAGACC
rnacentral:rRNA from 1 species